rnacentral:rRNA from 1 species
GGCCAGACUCCUACGGGAGGCAGCAUUGGGGGAUAUUGCACAAUGGGGGGAACCCUGAUGCAGCGACGCCGCGUGGGUGAAGGAGUAUUUCGGUAUGUAAAGCCCUAUCGGCAGGGAAGGAGCAAGACGGUACCUGACUAAGAAGCCCCGGCUAACUACGUGCCAGCAGCCGCGGUAAUACGUAGGGGGCAAGCGUUAUCCGGAUUCACUGGGUGUAAAGGGAGCGUAGACGGCGACGCAAGUCUGGAGUGAAAGCCCGGGGCCCAACCCCGGGACUGCUCUGGAAACUGCGGCGCUGGAGUACGGGAGGGGCAGGCGGAAUUCCUGGUGUAGCGGUGAAAUGCGUAGAUAUCAGGAGGAACACCGGCGGCGAAGGCGGCCUGCUGGACCGUGACUGACGUUGAGGCUCGAGAGCGUGGGGAGCAAACAGGAUUAGAUACCCGAGUA